rnacentral:rRNA from 1 species
UACAGAGGUCCCAAGCGUUGUUCGGAUUCACUGGGCGUAAAGGGUGCGUAGGUGGUGGAUUAAGUCGGGUGUGAAAUCUCCGGGCUCAACCCGGAGCGUGCGCCCGAAACUGAUCUGCUGGAGGAUGGGAGGGGAGACUGGAAUUCUCGGUGUAGCAGUGAAAUGCGUAGAUAUCGAGAGGAACACCGGUGGCGAAGGCGAGUCUCUGGACCAUUCCUGACACUGAGGCACGAAAGCCGGGGGAGCAAAC